rnacentral:rRNA from 1 species
AAUAUUGCACAAUGGGGGAAACCCUGUUGCAGCAACGCCGCGUGAAGGAUGAAAGUUUUCGGAUCGUAAACGUCUACCAGUAGGGACGAAAGAAAUGACGGUACCUAACUAAGUAGCCCCGGCUAACUACGUGACACCAGCCGCGGUAAUACGUAGGGGGCAAGCGUUAUCAGGAAUCACUGGGUGUAAAUGGUGCGUAGGGGUCAAUGUAAGUCAGAUGUGAAAUCCCGGGGCUCAAACCCGGGCGUGCAUUUGAAACUGUAUAGCUAGAGUGCAGGAGAGGAAAGUGGAAUUCCUAGUGUAGCGGUGAAAUGCGUAGAUAUUAGGAGGAACACCAGUGGCGAAGGCGACUUUCUGGACUGUAACUGACGCUGAUGCACGAAAGCGUGGGUAGCGAAC